rnacentral:rRNA from 1 species
GGGUUGUGAGGUUAAGCGACUAAGCGUACACGGUGGAUGCCCUGGCAGUCAGAGGCGAUGAAGGACGUGCUAAUCUGCGAAAAGCGUCGGUAAGGUGAUAUGAACCGUUAUAACCGGCGAUGUCCGAAUGGGGAAACCCAGUGUGAUUCGUCACACUAUCGUUAACUGAAUACAUAGGUUAACGAGGCGAACCGGGGGAACUGAAACAUCUAAGUACCCCGAGGAAAAGAAAUCAACCGAGAUUCCCCCAGUAGCGGCGAGCGAACGGGGAGCAGCCCAGAGUCUGAAUCAGCUUGUGUGUUAGUGGAACGGUCUGGAAAGUCCGACGGUACAGGGUGAUAGUCCCGUACACCAAAAUGCACAGGCUGUGAACUCGAAGAGUAGGGCGGGACACGUGGUAUCCUGUCUGAAUAUGGGGGGACCAUCCUCCAAGGCUAAAUACUCCUGACUGACCGAUAGUGAACCAGUACCGUGAGGGAAAGGCGAAAAGAACCCCGGCGAGGGGAGUGAAAAAGAACCUGAAACCGUGUACGUACAAGCAGUGGGAGCACCUUCGGGUGUGACUGCGUACCUUUUGUAUAAUGGGUCAGCGACUUAUAUUCUGUAGCAAGGUUAACCGUAUAGGGGAGCCGCAGGGAAACCGAGUCUUAACUGGGCGUUAAGUUGCAGGGUAUAGACCCGAAACCCGGUGAUCUAGCCAUGGGCAGGUUGAAGGUUGGGUAACACUAACUGGAGGACCGAACCGACUAAUGUUGAAAAAUUAGCGGAUGACUUGUGGCUGGGGGUGAAAGGCCAAUCAAACCGGGAGAUAGCUGGUUCUCCCCGAAAGCUAUUUAGGUAGCGCCUCGUGAACUCAUCUUCGGGGGUAGAGCACUGUUUCGGCUAGGGGGUCAUCCCGACUUACCAACCCGAUGCAAACUACGAAUACCGAAGAAUGUUAUCACGGGAGACACACGGCGGGUGCUAACGUCCGUCGUGAAGAGGGAAACAACCCAGACCGCCAGCUAAGGUCCCAAAGUCAUGGUUAAGUGGGAAACGAUGUGGGAAGGCACAGACAGCCAGGAUGUUGGCUUAGAAGCAGCCAUCAUUUAAAGAAAGCGUAAUAGCUCACUGGUCGAGUCGGCCUGCGCGGAAGAUGUAACGGGGCUAAACCAUGCACCGAAGCUGCGGCAGCGACACUAUGUGUUGUUGGGUAGGGGAGCGUUCUGUAAGCCUGCGAAGGUGACCUGUGAGGGUUGCUGGAGGUAUCAGAAGUGCGAAUGCUGACAUAAGUAACGAUAAAGCGGGUGAAAAGCCCGCUCGCCGGAAGACCAAGGGUUCCUGUCCAACGUUAAUCGGGGCAGGGUGAGUCGACCCCUAAGGCGAGGCCGAAAGGCGUAGUCGAUGGGAAACAGGUUAAUAUUCCUGUACUUGGUGUUACUGCGAAGGGGGGACGGAGAAGGCUAUGUUAGCCGGGCGACGGUUGUCCCGGUUUAAGCAUGUAGGCUGAUUGUCCAGGCAAAUCCGGAUAAUCAAGGCUGAGGUGUGAUGACGAGGCACUACGGUGCUGAAGUAACAAAUGCCCUGCUUCCAGGAAAAGCCUCUAAGCAUCAGGUAACAUCAAAUCGUACCCCAAACCGACACAGGUGGUCAGGUAGAGAAUACCAAGGCGCUUGAGAGAACUCGGGUGAAGGAACUAGGCAAAAUGGUGCCGUAACUUCGGGAGAAGGCACGCUGGUGUGUAGGUGAAGUCCCUGCGGAUGGAGCUGAGACCAGUCGAAGAUACCAGCUGGCUGCAACUGUUUAUUAAAAACACAGCACUGUGCAAACACGAAAGUGGACGUAUACGGUGUGACGCCUGCCCGGUGCCGGAAGGUUAAUUGAUGGGGUUAUCCGUAAGGAGAAGCUCUUGAUCGAAGCCCCGGUAAACGGCGGCCGUAACUAUAACGGUCCUAAGGUAGCGAAAUUCCUUGUCGGGUAAGUUCCGACCUGCACGAAUGGCGUAAUGAUGGCCAGGCUGUCUCCACCCGAGACUCAGUGAAAUUGAACUCGCUGUGAAGAUGCAGUGUACCCGCGGCAAGACGGAAAGACCCCGUGAACCUUUACUAUAGCUUGACACUGAACAUUGAGCCUUGAUGUGUAGGAUAGGUGGGAGGCUUUGAAGCGUGGACGCCAGUCUGCGUGGAGCCAACCUUGAAAUACCACCCUUUAAUGUUUGAUGUUCUAACGUUGGCCCCUGACCGGGGUUGCGGACAGUGUCUGGUGGGUAGUUUGACUGGGGCGGUCUCCUCCCAAAGCGUAACGGAGGAGCACGAAGGUUAGCUAAUCCUGGUCGGACAUCAGGAGGUUAGUGCAAUGGCAUAAGCUAGCUUGACUGCGAGCGUGACGGCGCGAGCAGGUGCGAAAGCAGGUCAUAGUGAUCCGGUGGUUCUGAAUGGAAGGGCCAUCGCUCAACGGAUAAAAGGUACUCCGGGGAUAACAGGCUGAUACCGCCCAAGAGUUCAUAUCGACGGCGGUGUUUGGCACCUCGAUGUCGGCUCAUCACAUCCUGGGGCUGAAGUAGGUCCCAAGGGUAUGGCUGUUCGCCAUUUAAAGUGGUACGCGAGCUGGGUUUAGAACGUCGUGAGACAGUUCGGUCCCUAUCUGCCGUGGGCGCUGGAGAAUUGAGGGGGGCUGCUCCUAGUACGAGAGGACCGGAGUGGACGCAUCACUGGUGUUCGGGUUGUCAUGCCAAUGGCACUGCCCGGUAGCUAAAUGCGGAAGAGAUAAGUGCUGAAAGCAUCUAAGCACGAAACUUGCCCCGAGAUGAGUUCUCCCUGAGACU